rnacentral:rRNA from 1 species
GACGAACGCUGGCGGCGUGCUUAACACAUGCAAGUCGAACGGAAAGGCCCUGCUUUUGUGGGGUGCUCGAGUGGCGAACGGGUGAGUAACACGUGAGUAACCUGCCCUUGACUUUGGGAUAACUUCAGGAAACUGGGGCUAAUACCGGAUAGGAGCUCCUGCUGCAUGGUGGGGGUUGGAAAGUUUCGGCGGUUGGGGAUGGACUCGCGGCUUAUCAGCUUGUUGGUGGGGUAGUGGCUUACCAAGGCUUUGACGGGUAGCCGGCCUGAGAGGGUGACCGGCCGCAUGGGGACUGAGAUACGGCCCAGACGCCUACGGGAGGCAGCAGUGGGGAAUAUUGCACAAUGGGCGGAAGCCUGAUGCAGCAACGCCGCGUGCGGGAUGACGGCCUUCGGGUUGUAAACCGCUUUCGCCUGUGACGAAGCGUGAGUGACGGUAAUGGGUAAAGAAGCACCGGCGAACUACGUG